CUUCCAUGAAUCAUAUCAACACCACUGCUGUUGUGUGAAGGUCUAAAAUCUCUUGGAUUGUUUGCAAUGGUGAUUUGUUGUUGCUUUCUUUUUCGGAGUUUGUUGCGGCGGAUUGAUGCUGAUCCUUCAUUGAGAAGCACACAACCUUGUUAAUGGGUUUCAAUUCAACCAGAAUGGAGGGAAACCAAUACUUUUAAGGUUGUUGACUCACUUCCAUCUUCAUCUAGUUCCUCAAAAAACUUCAACCAGGAAAGAAAGCGGAUCGUCGCGCCAUCAGGAGAAUAAUUUACGUACGGUUAGAAGUUCUGAUGGAGGCAUAGUACACACUAAAGCUCCUUCAUCCAUUGGAGGAAUAGGCAAUGCAUUUUCAUCCAAAAGGGUGGAAGAUUCAGGGCAUUCACUACUCCUUUCUGUGUAAAUUUGUGUAAACAAGGUAAUCUUAUAAUCUAGCUAGUAUCUAAUGCAAUUUAAGUGAGCUACUAUUAAUACCACUAACCUGAAAGUGCAGCAUAA